GGCUCUAUGGUCUAGAGGUAUGAUUCCUGCUUUGGGAUGCUGACCACCAGCGAACAAAAUUGCAGGAGGCCCCGGGUUCGAAUCCCGGUGGAGCCC